CCAGACUCCUACGGGAGGCAGCAGUGGGGAAUAUUGCACAAUGGGGGGAACCCUGAUGCAGCAAUGCCGCGUGAAGGAUGAAGGUUUUCGGAUUGUAAACUUCUUUUGUACGGGACGAAGAAAGUGACGGUACCGUAAGAAUAAGCCACGGCUAACUACGUGCCAGCAGCCGCGGUAAUACAUAGGGAGCAAGCGUUAUCCGGAUUUAUUGGGUGUAAAGGGUGCGUAGACGGGAAAUUAAGUUAGUUGUGAAAUCCCUCGGCUUAACUGAGGAACUGCAACUAAAACUGAUUUUCUUGAGUACUGGAGAGGAAAGUGGAAUUCCUAGUGUAGCGGUGAAAUGCGUAGAUAUUAGGAGGAACACCAGUGGCGAAGGCGACUUUCUGGACAGUAGCUGACGUUGAGGCACGAAAGUGUGGGGAGCAAACAGGAUUAGAUACCCUUGUAA
rnacentral:rRNA from 1 species